GUCACUGCUAUCGGUGUUCGAUUAAGCCAUGCGAGUUUUGAGGGGUAAAGCCCUCGGCGGAGUGCUCAGUAACACGUGGACAACCUACCCAAGAGUCAGGGAUAACCCCGGGAAACUGGGGAUAAUACCUGAUAGGCCAUGACAUCUGGAAUCGAGUUGUGGUUUAAACGUAAGGCUCUUGGAUGGGUCUGCGGCGGAUUAGGUUGUUGCCGGUGUAACGUACCAGCAAGCCUGUAAUCCGUACGGGUUGUGGGAGCAAGAGCCCGGAGAUGGAUUCUGAGACACGAAUCCAGGCCCUACGGGGCGCAGCAGGCGCGAAAACUCUACAAUGCAGGCAACUGCGAUAGGGGAACAUCGAGUGGCAUCCACCAUGGAUGUCUGUCCAAUCGUCUAAAAAACGAUUGUCAGCAAGGGCCGGGCAAGACCGGUGCCAGCCGCCGCGGUAUACCGGCGGCUCGAGUGGUGGCCGAUAUUAUUGAGUCUAAAGGGUCCGUAGCCGGCUUUGCAAGUCCUAUGGGAAAUCCAGCGGCUUAACCGUUGGGCUUUCAUGGGAUACUACAUUGCUUGGGACUGGGAGAGGUAGGAGGUACUCAGGGGGUAGGGGUGAAAUCCUGUAAUCCUUUGGGGACCACCGGUGGCGAAGGCGUCCUACCAGAACAGGUCCGACGGUGAGGGACGAAAGCUAGGGGCACGAACCGGAUUAAAUACCCGGGUAGUCCUAACCGUAAACGAUGCUCGCUAUGUGUCACGGCAGUCCUGAAUUGUCGUGCUGCCUAGGGAAGCCGUGAAGCGAGCCACUUGGGAAGUACGACCGCAUGUUGACACUUAAAGGAUUGGCUGGGGGAGCACAAUCACUAGUG
rnacentral:rRNA from 1 species